rnacentral:rRNA from 1 species
CAGUCGACGGUAGAGGAGCAAUCCUCGAGAGUGGCGAACGGGUGAGUAAUUUAUCGGAACGUGCCCAGUCGUGGGGGAUAACGUAGCGAAAGCUACGCUAAUACCGCAUACGACCCGAGGGUGAAAGCGGGGGACUCGCAAGAGCCUCGCGCGAUUGGAGCGGCCGAUGGCAGAUUAGGUAGUUGGUGGGGUAAAGGCCCACCAAGCCUGCGAUCUGUAGCUGGUCUGAGAGGACGACCAGCCACACUGGGACUGAGACACGGCCCAGACUCCUACGGGAGGCAGCAGUGGGGAAUUUUGGACAAUGGGCGAAAGCCUGAUCCAGCCAUACCGCGUGCGGGAAGAAGGCCUUCGGGUUGUAAACCGCUUUUGUCAGGGAAGAAAUACUUCGGGCUAAUACCCUGGGGUGAUGACGGUACCUGAAGAAUAAGCACCGGCUAACUACGUGCCAGCAGCCGCGGUAAUACGUAGGGUGCAAGCGUUAAUCGGAAUUACUGGGCGUAAAGCGUGCGCAGGCGGUUCUAUAAGACAGAUGUGAAAUCCCCGGGCUCAACCUGGGAACUGCAUUUGUGACUGUAGAGCUAGAGUACGGUAGAGGGGGAUGGAAUUCCGCGUGU